AAGCGAAUUUCUAAUUGCACCACCGGCCCACCCAUUCUGUACGAAACGGUUAUCAUUCCUGACUGUUAAUGAGUUCCAUAAGGCUACGUAUGCGCAGUGAGUAGCGAUUUAUUUCUGUUGGUUCUUCGCUAGGAACAACACGCUCGUACUGCACUGAGUUCGUUUUACUGAGAGAAAUGCAAGGAUGAGGACUGCACGAGUGGUAGUGGCAUUGCUGUUGCUGUUCAAAGGGGUUGCCUGUGCUCCGCUGGGAGUCAUAGAGGUGCUACGCAACUUCUGGGACUUGCUGGUAGCUCCAGAGGCGACGCGGGCCAUCCACAACGUGCCCUUUGACCCGGAUGCCGCAAUCAGUUUCAGGAGUAACUACCAGAACUCGUUCGGCUACAGAGGCAUGCACCUGGUCGAGAUGUUAGGCAAAGGAUACACCCGGGAACAGCUUGUUGAGCUGCGGGCUGUGACGCCGUGACGGACAGUGAUCUGUACCAGCAGACAUCAUCGCGAAGCUCCAGUUGAAAUAUACAACGAUAUGUAACACAUACAAUAUAUUUUUGUAAAGUUUUAAAUACUUACGAACAUAUUAUAUCAAAUAUUAUAAUCA